rnacentral:rRNA from 1 species
UACGAAGGGGGCUAGCGUUGCUCGGAAUCACUGGGCGUAAAGCGCACGUAGGCGGCUUACUAAGUCAGGGGUGAAAUCCUGGAGCUCAACUCCAGAACUGCCUUUGAUACUGGUGAGCUUGAGUCCGGAAGAGGUGAGUGGAACUGCGAGUGUAGAGGUGAAAUUCGUAGAUAUUCGCAAGAACACCAGUGGCGAAGGCGACUCUUUGGUCUGUAACUGACGCUGAGGCGCGAAAGCGUGGGGAGCAAACAGG